UGCGUAGGCGGCUUGAUAAGUCAGAGGUGAAAGGCUACAGCUCAACUGUAGAAUUGCCUUUGAUACUGUCGAGCUUGAAUCAGGUUGAGGUUGGCGGAAUGUGGCAUGUAGCGGUGAAAUGCAUAGAUAUGCCAUAGAACACCAAUUGCGAAGGCAGCUGACUGGACCUGCAUUGACGCUGAGGCACGAAAGCGUGGGGAGCGAACAGGAUUAGAUACCCUGGUAGUCC
rnacentral:rRNA from 1 species